CCUCUGCCCAUCUCUGUCACUCCUGAAACAUCAACCCAGCCCGCCCCAGCUGUCUCCAGGCAACAGGGUAGCCACGGAGACCGAGCCUUUUGGAUUAGCCGACCUGCAGGAAGUGAUCCCGCGGUCGGACAAGGUUGUGACAUCUUUUUGUUUAAGAGAUUCCAUCUCUCGUUCUGGCUUGCGUUCCUGUCCCCGGCUCGCCCUUCUCUGGCAGACCUUGAGUUCUCAUUGCGCAGCCCGAGCAAACAGAAGCUUUGUGUUCCACUCUGGCUAAACCCAAAGCGCAAACAGACACGGACAGGCAGAGCAUCGACCACACACACUUCGCACACCGAAUGCCUGUCCUGGCCGAGAUGAAGAAAAGCGUGUCAAUGUGUGCGAGGCAGCUGCCUGGACACCAAAAGUCGGCCUUGCUAGCGUAAGAGAUGACUGAGGGACUGUUUCAUCUGCAGCAGCGAUGGCAGCUGUUAAGCCUCCACAAUCAGCUCCACUGGCAGUCAGAUUUAAUGUCCCGCUGACAGACACACACUUCAAACUGAAGCCUAACCCACACGCAGAACAAACACAGCGCAUGCCGGCAAAACCAUGCUCUAGCAAUCAAGUGGUGUAGCGCUGCUGUGAGGCGUUUCACAAAACAAUCCAGCUAUUUUCAUUGCAAUUUGUCAUAGAAGCAAUGAAAACUUUAAUGCUCGCUGGAGACAUAUGAGCUAAUGGCCACGGGGGGAAAAAAUCACCAAAAAGAUUAAAGGACAUAAGAUUCCUGAAGAAGAUAUUGCUGCAUCUCCGGCCUACUCUAUUGUCACAUUAACACAACUGGCUCCAACAGCUCCCUGUCUUCAGCCUGCAGAACCUGAAGUUAACUUUGGUUUAAAAAAAAAAGGUUUUUACACGAACAUUUCAGUAAAAUACAAUGUUUUUGUCAAUACAAAUAAUCUACAGUUCA